rnacentral:piRNA from 1 species
UGACUCAUGUUUUAUGCUUCAGCAUCUGGG